rnacentral:pre_miRNA from 1 species
NNNNUACUCCCUCCGUCCGGAAAUACUUGUCAUCAAAAUGGAUAAAAGGAAAUGUAUCUAGACAUAUUUUAGUUUUAGAUACAUCUCUUUUUAUCCAUUUUGAUGACAAGUAUUUUCGGACGGAGGGAGUAGGAA